rnacentral:lncRNA from 1 species
AUUCAUUCAAAAAACAACUCUUUGCUUCAUCAAUCCUUUGUAUUUUUUUAUUUUCAUUUUUAUUAAUUUCAGCUCUGAUACUAAUUAUUUUCUGUCUUCUACUGAUUUUUGCAUUGAUUUAUUCUUUUUCUAGGCCCUUCAGGUAUAAGGUUAGAUUAUUUAUUUAGUAUCUUUUUAUUUUUUAAUGUAUGAACUCAGUGCUAUAAACUUUCUUUUUAGAACUGCCUUCAUACUGUCCCAGAAAUUUUGAUGUUGUAUCACUAUUCUCGCUUGUUUGUAAUAAUUUUUUUAUUUCUCUCCUCAUUUCUUCAGAUAUAUAUUCAUCAUUCAAAGUGUACUUUUUAAUAUCUAGAUGUUAGAGUGGUUUCUGUUUUUUAUCUUGCUGAUUUUUUUUUUUUAUCUUACUGAUUUCACUCCAUUAUGAUCUGAUAGGAUGCAAGGAAUUUUCUCUAUUUUUUGUAUUUGCUAAGAUUUGCUUUUUGGCCUAAAAUAUGAUCUAUUUUAUAAACUGUUCCAUGUGCUGCUGAGAAGAAAGAAAAUUCAGUCGUUGAUGGAUGAAAUAUUCUAUAGAUGUCUAUUAGGUCCAUUUGAUUAAUAGUAUUUUUCAGUUCUGAAGAAUCUUUAUUUAGUUUCUGUCUGGAUGAUCUAUCUAGUGGUGGGAGAGGUGUGUUGAAGUCACCCAAUAUUAUUGUAUUGUGGUCUAUUUGAUUCUAAAUAUUAAGAAAAGUUUGUUUUAUGUAUGUAGAUGUGUCAUUAUUUGGGGGCACAAAUAUUUACAAUUAUUAUAUAUUGCUGGAUGAUUCAUUUAACCAGUAUGAAGUGACCUUCUAUGUCUCUUUUGAUUAAUUUGGCUUGAUGUCUAUUUUGCCUGAUAUAAGAGUAGUCACCCCUGCUUGUUUAUGGGUAAUAUUUGUAUGAUAUAUAUUUUCCCAUUCUUUCACCUUCAGUCUGUGGAUGUCUUUGCCUGUGAGGUUUGUCUCUUACAGAAAACAUAUUGUUGGAUCUUGUUAAUUAAUACAAUCUGCCAAUCUUUGUCUUUUUUUUUUUUUUUUUUUGGUGGUGUUUGGCGUUGAACCCAGGACCUUGUGCAUGCAAAGCAAGCAUUCUACCAAUGGAGUCAUAUCCCUAGGCCAAUUUUUGUCUUUUGAUUGAAGAGUUUAGACCAUUUAUAUUCAAAUUUACUAUAGAGAGAUGCUCUUUAUUUAGUGCUAUUUUGAUGUACUUCUAAUGUUUAAUUCAGACUGGAGUCUCCUCUAAUUGAUUAUUUUUCUAGUGCAAUUCAUAUCUAUGUUGGUUUUCAUUUUUAUUUUUUAUUGCUUCUUCAUGAAAUAAUUGAGUAUGUUUUGUAGUAUAGGUUUUGUUAUGAUGAAUUCUUUUAGGUUUUGCUUAUCAUGGAAGGUUUUUAUUUCAUCUUCAAUUCUGAAGGAUUAUGUUUCUAGGUUUGGUAAUCUUGGUUGGUACCUAUUUUCUUUCAGAGUUUGUUAUGUAUUAUUUCCUCCUGGCUUUUAGGAUAUGGGUUGAGAAAUCAGUUAAAAUCUGAAUUGGUUUACCUCUAAAUAUAACCUGCCAUUUUUCUCUUGCAGUUUUGAGAAUUGUAUCCUUAUUCAGCAUAUUAGGCAUUUUCAUUAUAAUGUGUCUUAGAGAAAAUCUAUUCUGACUCUAUUUGGAUUUUUACAUGCUAUUUGAAUUUCCAUCUCAUUUCUAAGAUUUGGAAAUUUUUCUAAUAUUAUUUUAUUGAAAACAUUGUGCAUUCCUUUAGUUUGUAUCUCAGAGCCUUCAUGUAUCCUAAUGAUUUUUAAAUUUGGUCUCUUGACAUUAUCCUAGAUUUCUUGAUUAUUCUCAUGCUCUCUUAACAUCUUUUUUCCUUGUGGUCAACUUUAUUUUCCAAUAUUAUAUACUUUGUCUUCAAGGCCUGAAAACCUAUCUUCAAAAUGAUCUAAUCUAUUGGUAAUGCUUUCCAUUGGAUUUUAAAUUUAGUUUAUUGAGUCUUUUAUUUCUAGGAUUUCUGUUUGUUAUCUCUUGUCUUUUUAUUGAAGUUGUCUUUCACUUCCUAUAUUUUCCAAUUUCACUACUUAUGUCUCCUUUUAGGUCACUGAAUAUUUUAACUAGGUACUUAAGUUUUUUCUCUGACAUUUCCUACACUGUGGUGUUGAUGAAGUCAGUGGUUGAAGUAUUUGUUGUGGGCUGUUUGGGUGUGGUUUCUUCCUUUGCUUUUCCAUAUUGUUUAUAUGUAUGUCCAUCUAUUGGGUUGGUUAUUGCUUCUCCUUUUGAGCAAGGAACUUCUUCAUGAGCUUCUUUCUCUUAAGAGCCAGGGUUAGGUGAAUAUCCAGGUAUUGGUACUUUAACUUCAUGUGUGGCCUCUGCUGUUGCCAGCGUCAGCACCACUUUGAGAAAAGCCACUGAACUCUAUUGACUUUCAGAGCCAAGCCACAUACUAUUCAAUCUUAUGGAAAGUGAAAAACUUGUUGAUACUGUUCUCCACAAUCCCUCUAAUCCAAGUAUAAACUUGUAGUCAAGCUCUCUCAGAUCAGUUUUUCCUUCACUGCCUUCUUUCUGUGUUGUGGGAGAUUGGAAAUCACUACCUAGCUCUGUUCUGCCAUCUUCAGGACCCCCUGACCCCCACUUUUUUUUUUUUGGUACCAGGGAUUAAACUCAGGGGCACUCGUCCACUGAGCCAAAUAAUCCCUAGUCCUGUUUUGUCUUUUAUUUAGAGACAGGGUCUCACUGGGUUGCUUAGUGCCUCACUUUUGCUGAGGCUGGCUUUGAACUCACAAUCCUCCUGCCUCUGGCUCCUGAGCCACUGGGAUUACAGGUGUGCACCACUGCACCUGGCCCUAGCCACAUUUUAAAUAGGGAAAGAACUCCAGGAACAGUUCUUAACUCCAACUAUUGUGAGUUAAGAGCAGAGCAGAGACUCAUCUGAUUCCAGUGCUUUUUCUUUUUUGCUUCUUCUUAAGUUACUCUGUUUGUCGCACCAGGAAAUUAGAGUGAAUUUAUUAAAUCAUGGUGUGUUGCUUUUUCAAGGUGGUGAACCUUUGUUCAAUUGCUGGUUACCUUCCCAUGGCUGUGACUGGAAUUGUGGCAUAGAUGACUCAACUUCUCUAAUUUUGGCACUAGAUGGUGCUAUAACACCACACAUCUCUACUGCUGUGGGUCUUGGACAAAGUUUCUUCAGCAUUUGGGGCACUGGUGAGGAGGAUGCUACCUUACUUCAGUAUGAAAAAGCAUGGAAGAGAGGAAACUUUCUUGGCCCUAAUAAUCUAGUCUUUGAUGCUAAAUUCUGGGAAUGCUGAAGACUUUCAGCUCUGGGACUUGCAGCCAAGCCUUUUUGUGAAUUGAGUUCUUUGUUUUACCCAGUCCUGGGGAAUAGACUUGGACACACACACAUCCACUUCAGAGGCUCCUGUGGGGGAUGUGGGAUGUCUAAGCAGCAAAGAGCUUGGCACUGUGUUAGAUACUCAAGAGACUACAGAUAUACAAACUCCGUUCUUCUGUAAUCCCAGUGGGCUACAGUCCUGGCUCUCCCAGCCACUUUCUCACCGCCUUUCGGUUGCUCCGGGGGUGGGGGGCUUGCUGGAGGCUGAGGAGCCUUUUGGUGCAGGAACCUGCAUCAGACUCUGCUCUCACAUCCUGGUGAAUAAUUGUUGAGCACCCUCUAAUAAUACUGUUUUGGAGACCUUGUCCUAAAGUCAGUGAGUUUCCAUGAUUUACUUGGACUCUCCAAAAAGGUCAGGGUUAUGAAAGACUGAAGAACUGCCACAGUCAAGGAGGGGGACUGGAAGAGAAAAAAGAUAAGGCAACAAAAUGCAAUAUAGGCUUGUAGUCCAGAAAAAGGACAUUAGUGGAGCAGUGACGAGAAUUGGGUGUAGUCUACAGCUUAGUUAAUAGUAUUGCUCUUUUAUUUCUUGAUUUUGGUCAUUGAACCAUGGCUAUGUCAAAUGUUAAUAUAUGGGGAAGUUGGGUGAAUGGUGUAUGAGAAUUUUUGUAUUGAUUUUAAAAUAUUUUGGGGGUCAAUUUUGAGGUUAUUUCAAACUUGAAAGUUAAAUAAAAAAUAUACAUUUUAAAAAUUUACAUGUUUUAUAUAUCACCAUCAUAGAAUAUUUCAAACCUACAGAAAGGUAUAGAGAAUAGGGACAUCUCCUUGUACAACUUACUCAGAAGUGUUGGUGGGAGGCACUAGAGUGAGGAAUAGAGUGGUUUUUGCAGAAAUUAACUGUUACUCACUGUUAUCCUGUGAUUUUUCUAUGUCCAGACUCCACUUGAUAGUUAAGUUGGACCAUUAUUUUUCAGGCAAAGGCCAUUUAAAAUUUGACAGCUUCCACAUAAGGACAAAUCCUCCUAUCACUCUGCUUUGUGCACCUGUUCUGCUGUCCUCUCACUAGUGGCUUAGUAUAUUUUUUCUUUCUGCAUAGCUUCCUCACAACCUCUGCUGGCCAUGGCCCCUCGCUGUCCUGAUUCUGCCUCUCAGUUAGGCUCUAGGUAACCUUGCAAUUUUAGUCCCUGUUGUUGACUGCAGGAUCCUUACUAUGUUUCCCAGUCCAAAUUCCUGAGAGUGAGAAACUGAUUGGCUUAACACAAAGUCUUUGACAGACUGCAUCACAUUUUGGGAGCUGGCACAGAUACUGGCUUCCCAGGGUUAGUGCUAACCUGGUUCUGUCACCUGCAGCCUGACAGUGAGGGGAGCUGGGUGGGAGGGCUCACUUAGUGUGGCCCCUUGAACAGCAGCUUCAAUGUCAAAUCUGCUUCUAAGGGAUCUGGGCACCGAGGCUCUCCUGUUUCCUGGGUUGUUCUCCUGGAGAAGCAGGAGAGAUAGAGAUAGAGGACUAAGAGAUCUCUGAGUGGGAUCACGAGGGUCUAGUACUUUGUUAUUAUACAACCAAACAUUUGUACACCACUCAGAAGUUUGGUAACUCCACUGUAUAAUCAUGAUCUAAUUUUGUGCACAUUUUGGUAACACUUAUAUGACUGUAUUGCAAUUGCUUUUUUUUCUGUUUCCUCUUAUAGGCAAACAACAGGCAACAUGAAGGCAGAGACUAUGUCCCCUUAUCAAUAUCUUUAGUACUGAUCCUACAGCUAAUAUUCUAGAGAAAUUUUAAAAAUAUUUUUAUUUCAUUUUUAUGUGGUGCGAAGGAUCGAAGCCAGUACCUCACGCGUGUUAGGUGAGCGCUCUACCACUUGAGCCACCAUCCCAGCCUAGAGAUAUUUAUUACAUGUAAGAAUCAAAUAAUUGAGACCACAUUUUUUGAAGCUGACAACUGCUCUUACUGUCUUACUACUGAGGAAGUGGAGGCAUAGUUAAGCAGCUGUCAGGCAUAUGAUUAAAUGACUGGGCUCUUUGUGGCCCAGUCCUACAGAUCUGCAUUCAGAGAACACCCAGUGUGAUUCUCUUCCCAACAUAUGGUAUCUCUCUCCAUUCUUCUUCCCAUACCAGAAAUAAGCAUCAGAAGUUGAUGCUGGGGCUUCUGGGCUCUCUGGGUAUUCUGAGCCCCUCUAGAAUGGUGAAGGGUGCUCCUUUGUUUUUCUUAAAGUCAAUGUGUGGAAGUCCAUUGGAAGCAUAUUUCUUUCUUUCUUUUUCCUCCACAUUUUUUAUUGGUUCAUUAUAGUUGAUGGGACUUGUUGUUUCACAGUCAUACCUGCACAUACCAUAACAAUAUAAUUGGCCAAUAUCACUCCCCAGCACUUCCUCCCUGCUCCCUCCCUCCUACCUCUUGCUCCCUUUAGUCUACUGAUCUCCUUUUGAUUUUCAUGAGAUUCUUCUCCAUCUUUCUUUUCCUUUUUCCUCUCUAGCUUCUUCAUAUGAGAGAAAACAUGUAACCCUUGACCUUUUGAGUUGGACUUAUUUUGCUUAACGUAAUGGUCUCUAGUUCCAUCUGUUUUCUGCAAAUGACAUAAUUUCAUUCUUCUUUAUGUCUGAAGAAGACUCCAUUGUGUAUAUCUACCACAUUUUCUUUGUCCAUUCAUCCAUUGCUGGACACCUAGGCUGGUUUCAUAGGUUUGGCUAUUGUGUAUUAUGUUGCUAUAAAUAUGGGGAUGCGUGUAUCACUGUAGUAAGAUGACUUUAAUUCUUAGGAUAAAUGCUGAGGAGUGGGAUAGCUGGGUCACAUGGUGGUUCCAUGCCUAGCUUUUUGAGGAAAUUCCAUAUUGACUCAUUGGAAGCAUAUUUUAGUAUCUUUAUGGAUUUUCUUGUGAGAUAACUACAGAGCAUAAAAGUAUUGACUUCAUUAAAUCAGCUUGUACCUGUAAUGUUUAUCUUGAGACUCUGGAUAGCAUAAGGAUUAGGGACACAUUGGAAAUGGGGAAUGGGGAUUUUGGGACAGGUCUGGAUGUGGGGAGUUAGAGGUAGAAGGAAGAAGAGCAGAAGAUAGACUUCAGGUGGAAGGAUGCUGUGGUUUGGAUAUGGCUAGAGUGUGUCUCCAAGGAUCUGUGUGUUAGGAGCUUGGUUCCUAGUGUGGUGGUACUGACAGGAGGUUCGAUUUUUAAGAAGCAGGGCUUAGUGGAAGUUCCUUAUGUCACUGGGGUAUUGUCCUCAGAAAGGACUGUGGAACCCCAACUUCUCAGGCUUCCUGUUUUUCAGAUGUGAUUUCUUUCCUCAUGUAUUUCUGCCAUUGUGACUCCAUCCCCCGUGAGUCCCCAUGUAGGAACCAUGCACUUGAAUCUCCAUAGCCAAGCUAACUAGACUUCUUUAUGUUAGCCUGCCUGAAGCAUUUCAUUAUAAUAAUGCAAAAUGGACCAGCAGACUGGUUUGAAUACAGGAUUGAAAGGUGAGAAAUGAAUUGUACAGAAUGUGAAUGUGGAGGAAUUCUGAGAAAUGGCAGCCAAUGCUGGUGACACAGAUGAGACAACUGGUAAUUUAGGAGAUUAUUGUUAAUGUCAAAACCAUCAUAUACAAUUAUAGGUUAAAAUGAAAAAUUUGUAUGUGCAAUUAAGUUACAGUAAAGACCUCAGAGAAACUUAGCUUUUGUAUUAGGUUAUUUUGUAACACCCCAAUUUCUUAGGGAAACAAUCAGUUAAUUCUCAGUUUGUGUGUGUGUGUGUGCAUCUCCACUGACUGCAUUUGGCUUUUUUCUCUAGUGCCCACCAGGGUACCUGGUCCACACUGGCCAUCCAUAUGAAGAAAGAUGUUCAUUGUACUAUUACUAGUAGUAUAAAAAAAUGGAAAACAACAAUAUAAGUAUCCAAAAAAGGGCAUGGUUUGAUAAAAGAGUGUAUAUCUACUGGAUGGAAUGUCAUGUAUCCUUUAUAUGAUGGUUGUAAAAACUAUGUUGCAAAAUAAAAAAAAAAUGCAUUUACAUUUUUUCAAAAAAUUUCCCUCUUGU